ACGCUCCUCUCAGCUCUCGCCUCUCCCCCCGCCUCUCCGCCGUCGCCGCCGCGGGGCUCCUCUCAGCUCUCGCCUCUCUCCUUUCCCUGUGUCGCCUCCCCUCGGCGCCGCCGCCUCGCCUUGCCUCGGGUCUCCGUUCCACCUAUUUUUUUUUUUUAACUUUUUGCUCCAAGCCAGCGACGAAUCCCCGGAUCUGGCGUCAGCGAGGAAGGACACGGUGGCUGCGAGGACGUACACGCCGGAUCCGGGCCAGCACAACCACCAGAUGGGAGCUGCGGCGGCUGGACACCUUCGAGGUGCUGCCGCGGGCAGGAGAAUAUCGCUGCAGCACCCUUCGCCGCUGCCGAGCUCCUGGCGCUGGUGGACGCGAGACCCCAAGUUGCCGUCCACCACGAGGUGCUGCUACGGGUAGGAGGAGCUGCUGCCGCACACCACUAAGUGAUGCUACGGGCAGGCGGAGGUGUGACCACGACGACGUACCAGACAAGGAGAGGCGCAGUGAAUGAGAAUGUUGGCUUAGAAAUUCAGAACAUCCAAGAAGUGGUCGGGGGACUGGUUUUGGUAAGUGAACACGGUACAAAGUUAGUUCGGUUUAUGAUUUGGACGUGGUUUAAUGUCAUGAACCAUCUGUUUUGUUUUUGUAAUAUCUUUUUUUCCUAUCUAACAAGAGGUUGUUAUUGUUCAUUACCCUGCAUUGGAUGGUUAUGCAGUAAGCCAGUAAGAUGCUUGUGUGAACAAGCAAACAUUGAUGUUUAGAUCCUUUACAACAGUACAUGUAAAUAUCAUUUCACUUAUUUGAAAUUCCACACACCCAGUUCAUAUAUAUGAGGGUAUCUUGAGAAGAUCAGUUCUGCCACUGUUGUUGUUGGAGACAGAAUUGAACGAGCUCUUCCUUUGUAUCAUCUUUCUUAUAUUGAUUAGUGAAUAGUUGUUGCUGCUUUUAGCCCUCGUUUUCGUGAGAACUUGUUCAGAGUGUAGAAAAGAAAAUUAUGUGGCUAUAGAAGCAUAUAUGCCAUUCAGUAAAACAUCAAAGAAAAAUAACUUUGAAAUCUAUAUAUUUAUUGACUGUGCACCUAUUCCAUCUUCCAAGUAACUUCUGUGGGGUCAUCCUGAUCAGAAGUUUAUCCACCUAAAGAAAAAUUAAUUUUAUCCGAACUUCAUUUCAUUUAUUAUGUUCUCUCACAUUUUUUCAUUGUAUUUAUACAUGAGGAUUUUUUUUGUUUCUCUUGUUUAUUUUGAAAGUGAGUACCAGUUUUGAAUAGGCAUUAUCUUUGACCAUUUGAUAGUGAGUUGAAAGAAUAUUUUCUCAUUUCCAAGUUCCUCGCUACCCGCUCUCCUGUUUGAAGAUUAUUCUAUUCCUUUUGUGAAUUCUCUUCAUGUCCUGAAGAGGAGGUUUCUGCACCCUAUUAUGCUUCAUGUCCUUCAUUCAAAAAUUAAUUUGAUGCCUGGCUGAUUAGUGCUGAAUCAGAUCUAGCACAGAAUCACAUUUUACAGCAUUUCCAUUAUGAGUAUGUUUAUACAGUUGUUGAGUACCUUUAAUUGAAUCAGCAGAUUGUCUCGUCUACCCUUUGUGUAUUAGUUAUCCUUCCUUAUGGUGUUUUGAUUGAAUAGAAGCAGAUCAGGAGCCUUUGUUGUUGGUCCACUCUAAUCCCAACCCUUUGUAUGAUAUUUUUGUCAUCUAGAUUUUUAUAGAUGGUUAUGUUGUAUGUUCAUAUUCAUAUGUUGGCUCGGAGAUCCCUUUUGUGGCUUCUACUUUAUCAUGAAGAUUGUCGACAAGGAUUGAGAAGACAUAAUUGCUUACUAAUUAGAUUUCCAUAGAUGGUUAUGUUGUAUGUUCAUAUUCAUAUGUUGGCUCGCAGAUCCCUUUUCUGGCUUCUACUUUAUCAUGAAGAUUGUCGACAAGGAUUGAUAAGAGAUAAUUGCUUACUAAUUGCUCGUGUGUUUUUCAUCUCAGUGCUUCUCGGUGCCCUUCAUAAAGAACUUUCUCCCCGGAUUGUCUAUCAAAUCUCCAGUUGGAAAUAUCAGUCUACAGGCCCGUCUGAUAAAAUUAACCUUUAACAACCAACUGGAUGAUUAGCUGCUCCAUCAUGCUACAUACGCCUCUUUGUUGAGUGUUUUUCCCCGUUUUCUUGGAGAGUGCUACCUUUGCAAUGGUUUGGCCAUAAAUCUGUUGUCCGCACAAGUAGUACUGCUAAUUUGCCCUUUUUAAUGACGAUUUAUGCUUUCCGUACGCAAGUAUUUUAUUUGCAGUUUUGCAUUAGCCAAAUACUGAACUUCAGUGGGAGACAUUCACUGUUUUUCAGAUUUGAUGGAAAAACAAAAAAUAUGCCGCCAAUCGGCGUAAUUUUAUAACCGUUCUCGUCAUCUGAGUAACAUCCGAAAUGGCUAAUCUGAUCGGUUUUGCUGCUUGUGUAGAACCGACGACAAGCUUGUUGGCGGGCAUCUGGCAGGAUCGGUGAACAUCCUCUACAUGUACAAUACCAGCUCAGGCAAUUAUUAGAACUCUGUCAGUUAGUUAAGCUCUUGUGAUCAUUGAAAGGGAGGGGGGAUUAAGGUGUUUCCAUCAACAACCAUUUAUUGGUCGAGUGGACUCAGAACUGGAUUCGUACUGAAAAAUCAAGGUUGGCAUCAUGAUAACAAGCAUGGUCACCUUAAGUCUCAACUCUGAGCCUCCUCUUGGAAAAAAUGCCCGCAUUCCAAACAAGUCCAUUUACAGACUCUAAACCUCCUCUAUGAGCACCAAGUAGACACUCUCUUUGCUAUGUUUUGGCACAAAGAGCCAGACAUCAAGUACUACGUGUGCACAAUCAACAAGACAUUUGCCAAACCAGGCCAGCGCAUGGUUAACUAUACUGAAGAGAACUUGCAGGACUACAUUGAUCCAAACAAUGGUACACUCAUGGUCAGACUUGCAGACCGCCAUCUGCUCGCCGAAUGUUACAUCAUGCUAGGAAUGGACAAAAGGGCCACUAUAACCACCAACUGGCCUGAGUUUUGUCGCCGCGCCAACAUUCGCGAGGGAGACAUCUGUGCAUUUCGUUUCAGGAUAACUUCAAAGUGCCGCCUGGUCCUCACCGUGCACUACCUGUAGAUGCACCAUCGAAGAUGAUGCAGCCCCUGUGUCAAUAUAAUCUAGCACUAAGUACUCCUAAUUAUGUUAUAUCCUGUGAUAACCUAUCGGUUGCUUUUGGGUCCUUUUAUCACAUGCUUUUCAAGAUACUAAACCUACGUUGCUGCUUAUGUUAAGUGCACUAUUGUCAGUCAGAUGUUUUAUGUUCAGAUCCAUAAUGAGCUUUCUCUGUAAAGUAUAUAUUUCUAUUUUUGCUGCUAA